UAUAAAUAUCAUAAAUAUGCUAAUCUCAUCACUGAGUCUACAUCGAUUGAUUGAAGUUGAAACUUGUAACAUAUGAAAACGCGAGACGUAACAUCCUCCCCCCCAGAAAUAUUCGUCCUCGAAUGUUUAACUCUCUAGGAUCUAUAUAACCUUGGCAGAGUCACCUUUGUAACAAUACUACUACCAACUCUUCCUGUAGAAACUUAAUAAUUCUACACCACAUAUGAUCACAAUUAUUAAUAAUGACAAUGCCCUCACACGACCAACGACAAUAACUGACACCAGAAUCCCUACAUGUGCCUUAAGGUUAUGACAUCUCAAUCGGAUCCUUCCCUUGAGGAGGAAAUAACUAGGAAUAUCUAGACUUCAUGUCUUCCUCUGCCUCCUAAGUCACUACUUCCAUAUUGUUGUCUCUUCAAAGUACUUUCACCGAAGCUACGUCUUUAGUUCUCGAUCUCUGAAUUUGUCCGUCUAAUAUAGCAAUGAGAGCUUCUUAAUAUGAUAGUUGCUCUGUGACCUGACAUCGUAAACUAACACAAUUCUGGAAGGAUCUUCGAUACAUUUACGGAGCACAGACACAUGAAAGACAGGAUGUACAUACUCUAAGUCUGAAGACAAGUCUAACUCAUAUACUACUUGGCUUACUUUGCGUAUGAUCCUCUAUGGUCCCAUGUAUCGAGGGCUAAGUUUUCUUUCUUUUCGAACCUCAUGACACCUUUUAUAUGUGAUACCUUUUUUAUUGCGUGCAAUAAUCUAUCGGGCUCUUGAUGCCUACUCUUAACCUGCUGAUAGUUAGGGCACUGAGCAACAAACUCCGCUAUAUCUUUUUUCAUUACGUCCCACCAAUAUACCUCCUUGAUAACAUGAAAACAUCUUUGUCGCCCCUAGAUGGACAGAAUAAUAAGAAUAGUGAGUUUCUCCCAUAACCCACCGACGCAGCCCUGCAACAUUAGUUACACAUAAUUGUCCUCAAUAACUGAGGACCCUAUCUUCUAUAAUUUCAAAUGGUAUCUUAUCCUUUUGAGAGGUGGUAUCCCUAUAAUGAACUAAUAUAUGAUCCUCGUACUGGCGUUCCUUUGAUUCAGUUACUAACAAGAAUGUUGUAGUAUCCUGAAUCAAAAUUCCAAUAUGACAUAAGUCUAGUAACCGAACUCCAAUAUUAGCUAGCUAGUGGACCUCAUGGUCUAUUCUCCUCUUUUCUGGCUAUAAAUACGACAGGAUACCCAUAGAUAUACGGCUAAGGGCGCUGGCUACUACAUUUUCUUUCCCCGAAUGGCAUGAAAUAUCAACUUCAUAAUCUUUCAGUAGCUCCAGCCAUCUUCUUUG
rnacentral:lncRNA from 1 species